UAGGAAAGGACUGAGAACAUUUCUUCCCCCUGUUUUUCAUCCCCAGGUCUUCAGGCAGCUGGAGCCAGCUGUGUUGUCCUGCCUCCAGGGGUACAGUGUCUGCGUGUUCACCUAUGGUCAGACUGGGACAGGGAAAACCUACAGCAUGGAGGGCCCACCUGAGGAUCCUGGCAUAGCGCCUAGGGCACUGCAGUUGCUGUUCCGGGAGAUGGGGACUGGAGGGCACCACCAUGUGACCCUCAGCAUGGUGGAGAUCUACAACGAGGCAGUCAGGUCAGGGAUCCGUGGGCGGCUUUCUCCUUGCCCCUGGCCGUUUCUGCAGGCACCUUUAAAACCCAUAGAACUAAACCCACUCUCUCUCACCAGGGACCUCCUAGCUACGGGG
rnacentral:lncRNA from 1 species